UGUUAUUCCACACUUUCAGAGCCAAAAUCCA
rnacentral:piRNA from 1 species